AGGCAGCAGUGGGGAAUAUUGGACAAUGGGCGAAAGCCUGAUCCAGCAAUGCCGCGUGAGUGAUGAAGGCCUUAGGGUUGUAAAGCUCUUUUACCCGGGAAGAUAAUGACUGUACCGGGAGAAUAAGCCCCGGCUAACUCCGUGCCAGCAGCCGCGGUAAUACGGAGGGGGCUAGCGUUGUUCGGAAUUACUGGGCGUAAAGCGCGCGUAGGCGGCUUUGUAAGUUAGAGGUGAAAGCCCGGAGCUCAACUCCGGAACUGCCUUUAAGACUGCAUCGCUAGAAUUGUGGAGAGGUGAGUGGAAUUCCGAGUGUAGAGGUGAAAUUCGUAGAUAUUCGGAAGAACACCAGUGGCGAAGGCGACUCACUGGACACAUAUUGACGCUGAGGUGCGAAAGCGUGGGGAGCGAACAGGAUUAGAUACCCUGGUAG
rnacentral:rRNA from 1 species